CCUACGGGGGGCUGCAGUGGGGAAUAUUGGACAAUGGGGGGAACCCUGAUCCAGCCAUGCCGCGUGUGUGAAGAAGGCCCUCGGGUUGUAAAGCACUUUCAGUGAGGAAGAACGCCUGGUGGUUAAUACCCAUCAGGAAAGACAUCACUCACAGAAGAAGCACCGGCUAACUCCGUGCCAGCAGCCGCGGUAAUACGGAGGGUGCGAGAGUUAAUCGGAAUUACUGGGCGUAAAGCGCGCGUAGGUGGCUUGAUAAGCCGGUUGUGAAAGCCCCGGGCUCAACCUGGGAACGGCAUCCGGAACUGUCAAGCUAGAGUGCAGGAGAGGAAGGUAGAAUUCCCGGUGUAGCGGUGAAAUGCGUAGAGAUCGGGAGGAAUACCAGUGGCGAAGGCGGCCUUCUGGACUGACACUGACACUGAGGUGCGAAAGCGUGGGUAGCAAACAGGAUUAGAUACCCGAGUAGUC
rnacentral:rRNA from 1 species